rnacentral:rRNA from 1 species
UACAGAGGUCCCAAGCGUUGUUCGGAUUCAUUGGGCGUAAAGGGUGCGUAGGCGGCGCGGUAAGUCGGGUGUGAAAUCUCAGAGCUCAACUCUGAAACUGCACUCGAUACUGCUCUGCUUGAGGACUGGAGAGGAGACUGGAAUUCACGGUGUAGCAGUGAAAUGCGUAGAUAUCGUGAGGAAGACCAGUGGCGAAGGCGGGUCACUGGACCAUAACUGACGCUGAGGCGCGAAAGCUAGGGGAGCAAACAGG